UACGUAGGGCGCAAGCGUUAUCCGGAAUUAUUGGGCGUAAAGCGCUCGUAGGCGGUUUGUCGCGUCUGCCGUGAAAGUCCGGGGCUCAACUCCGGAUCUGCGGUGGGUACGGGCAGACUAGAGUGAUGUAGGGGAGACUGGAAUUCCUGGUGUAGCGGUGAAGUGCGCAGAUAUCAGGAGGAACACCGAUGGCGAAGGCAGGUCUCUGGGCAUUAACUGACGCUGAGGAGCGAAAGCAUGGGGAGCGAACAGG
rnacentral:rRNA from 1 species